CGGGACGGGUGAGUAAUGUCUGGGAAACGGCCCGACUGGAGGGGGAUAACUACUGGAAACGGUAGCUAAUACCGCAUAAUGUCUGCGGACCAAAGCGGGGGACCUCCGGGCCUCGCGCCAUCAGAUGAACCCAUAUGGGAUUAGCUUGUAGGUAAGGUAACGGCUUACCUAGGCGACGAUCCCUAGCUGGUCUGAGAGGAUGAUCAGCCACACUGGGACUGAGACACGGCCCAG
rnacentral:rRNA from 1 species